AUAUUUACCUGGCAGGGGAGAUACCAUGAUUAUGAAGGCGGUUUUCCCAGGACAAGGCUUACCCAUUGCACUCUGGAUGUACUGACCCCUGUGAUUUUCCCAAAUAUGGGAAACUCGACUGCAUAAUUUGUGGUAGUGGAGGACUAUGUUUGCACUCUCCCCUG